CAGGCUUGCCCCUGUUUGCAGAGCCGGGAAAAGGAUAAGAGGAUGUCAGAGCGGAUGGGGCAUCUUUGCGGUGAGAGCUGGGAGGGGUGGGGAGAGUCUCACCUGCUGUUCUGUUGUGGAUUUGUCUGUGAGUCACACUUGGCGCCUCUGCAGAAAGGACAUGGACUAUUUGGCCUUAUAUUCAUGGCUGCGCUGAAGACCAGGCAUCUAACUGGCCAUGUCUAAUCAGCAGGUUUCUCCCAAAGAUGCAGAAGCCUAUCUACCUUCUGAGACUGACAUUGUGAACCAUUGCAAGGAGCUGGUCAUUGCAUGAAUUGUUUUGAGCACAUUAUCUUGAAUAAUCAACAUAACAACACUGUGAGGUAAGUGUUAUUAUUAUUCUU
rnacentral:lncRNA from 1 species